GGGAAUGGCGGCUGCCUUACCAUGCAGUCGAACGGUAACAGGGAGCUUGCUCCGCUGACGAGUGGCGAACGGGUGAGUAAUACAUCGGAACGUGCCCAGUAAUGGGGGAUAGCUCGGCGAAAGCCGGAUUAAUACCGCAUACGCCCUGAGGGGGAAAGUGGGGGACCGCAAGGCCUCACGUUAUUGGAGCGGCCGAUGGCUGAUUAGCUAGUUGGUAGGGUAAAGGCCUACCAAGGCGACGAUCAGUAGCUGGUCUGAGAGGACGAUCAGCCACACUGGGACUGAGACACGGCCCAGACUCCUACGGGAGGCAGCAGUGGGGAAUUUUGGACAAUGGGGGAAACCCUGAUCCAGCAAUGCCGCGUGUGCGAAGAAGGCCUUCGGGUUGUAAAGCACUUUUGUCAGGGAAGAAAUCCUUUGGGCUAAUACCCUAGGGGGAUGACGGUACCUGAAGAAUAAGCACCGGCUAACUACGUGCCAGCAGCCGCGGUAAUACGUAGGGUGCAAGCGUUAAUCGGAAUUACUGGGCGUAAAGCGUGCGCAGGCGGUUGUGUAAGACAGGUGUGAAAUCCCCGGGCUUAACCUGGGAAUUGCAUUUGUGACUGCACGA
rnacentral:rRNA from 1 species